rnacentral:rRNA from 1 species
ACUGAACGCUGGCGGCAGGCCUCACACAUGCAAGUAGCGCGGAUGACUGGAGCUUGCUCCAUGAUUAAGCGGCGGACGGGUGAGUAAUGCCUAGGAAUCUGCCUGGUAGUGGGGGACAACGUUUCGCAAGGAACGCUAAUACCGCAUACGUCCUACGGGAGAAAGUGGGGGAUCUCCGGACCUCACGCUAUCCGAGGAGCCUAGGUCGGAUUAGCUAGUUGGUGAGGUAAAGGCUCACCAAGGCGACGAUCCGUAACUGGUCUGAGAGGAUGAUCAGUCACACUGGAACUGAGACACGGUCCAGAAGCCUACGGGAGGCAGCAGUGGGGAAUAUUGGACAAUGGGCGAAAGCCUGAUCCAGCCAGGCCGCGUGUGUGAAGAAGGUCUUCGGAUUGUAAAGCACUUUAAGUUGGGAGGAAGGGCAGUAAGUUAAUACCUUGCUGUUUUGACGUUACCAACAGAAUAAGCACCGGCUAACUUCGUGCCAGCCGCCGCCGUAAGAC